rnacentral:lncRNA from 1 species
AUUAUGCAAUUCAUGUAGGGAACUUGUAGGGAAUGUUUUGGGUUGUCGUAUGCAAUCAUCCAACUUAAUAACUCGUGGAAAAACUGAGGGUGAAUUAGUGCAAUUCACGGUUAACUUGGGGCGUUGAGUAUUCAUAAUUUAUCGGAAGAACAACUGAAAAUCGUUUUGUUUGCAAGUGUGACAUGUGUGGAGAAGAACCUCCUAACUAGCUUUUUAACCAUCUAUUUCACCAAAAUCGUUUUUACAAUCUGUUUAGUUUCAAGUUUCUGUUUUGUUUUCAAUUCUAGUCCAAAACAAUUCCCCCUUUAAUUUGAAGUCUUAGAUUAGUUAGAAAGUGUUUUGAUUUGUGUUUCUAAGUAUUUUGAUUCAAGUUUUCAUCAAAUUUCGUCCAAAUUAGUGUAGGUGCUCAAAACUGCCCAGAAAGUGGUUUUUAGGCAGUUUUGAGCCUUCUAGUUGCUGUUUUGAGUUUUAGGUUUGUUUAAGUGUUUUAACCUUUAGUUUUGCAUUCUUUGAGUCUAGUUUAGUGUUUUAAACUUUGUUUUAUGUUUUUAAGUCAGUUUCCAAGUGUUUAGCAAUCCCUCCUAAUCCCCGGUCUAGAACGAUCCCUACUUACAUCUCUACUACAAUUUGACAAAAGAGGGUUUAAUUUGAGUGCUAGUUAAUUUUCGCAUCAUUGAUUAAGAAUGCAUAUUUAGUUUUAAUGCAUGAAUUUGAUGCUAGAAUAUAAAUGAGUUUCACCUAAUCGUUACAAAUUUAUAUUAAUGAGUAGUAAAGGUUGCUAGUCACAAUCACGUUAAUUGAAUUCUUAUCAAACGUAUCAUGCACUCAUAGUUACAAAUGUCUCGUCAACACUUAUGAUUUUCAUGGAACGUAAUGAUCUCUGAUUGCAUCUCUAUUAUGCAUUCAUGUAGAGGACCUUUGGAGAAUGAUUUGGGUUGUCGCAUGAAUUCCUUCAAGAUCAAAUUCUGAGGGUUAAUUAGUGCAUCACGGUUAAUCUAGGGUGUUGAGCAUCAUAAUUUAUUGAAAAGCAAUUGGAAAUCGAUUCAUGUACAAGUGUGUCAUGUGUGGAGAAGAACCCUCUUGCUAGCCCAUCAUCCAUUUAAUUCCACCAAUUUCGUGUAAAUCUGUCUAGUUUUAAUUUCUGUCUUGUUUUACUUUAAAAUUCGUCCAAACCUAAUCCCCUUUUACUUUAGAGUGUCAAUAUAGUUAGAAUCUGUCUUAGUUUGUGAUUUUAAGUGUUUUUGAGUCAGUUUAGAGUAGAUUAGCAAUCCCUCAUAAUCCCCGAUUUAGAACGAUCCCUACUUAUCCAUACUACAAUUGUCAACAAGAGGGUUUAAUUUGUGUGUUAAGUUAAUUUUUGCACCAAAUUUUGGCGCCAUUGCCAGGGAUUAGCAACUUUUCUAAUCCCCCGUUGUUUCCUUUCGUUUAUUUUCGUUCUUUUGUUUUUAGUUUCUGACUUUGUUUUGUUUUCUUUGUUUUGCUAAUUACCCUGUUUUGUUUACUUAUGAUAUUUGAUUUAGUUUUCUUUCUUUCAGAUCAGGUACUAAAGAAGUAAGACAUGGCAAUUGCUAAUCUUCAAGCUCAAAUAGCAAAUCUUACUUCUCAAUUGUCACAAUACAUCGAAAUGACCACAAUACAAAGCACCCCUACAUUCGAUGUGUCCUAUAUGUAAGGAUAUUAAGCUGAUCAACAUCCACAAAGAAGUUGGGAGAGUUAUCAUGAUCAUAAUCAAUCAUGGAACAACUUGAUUUCCAACACGUACAAUUCAGAUUGGAGUGAUCAUUCAAACACUAUGUGGUGGGAACCUCAACCAGUUCAACACGAAGGACAUUGGCAGCCAUAUGAGGAGUUCUAUUCAAGACCUGCGCAGCCACCACAACCUCAUAUACAAUAUGCCCAACCAAACUCAGGUUCGUCAAUAGAUUAUGAUCAAAUUCUUGAUGAAUUAAAUUCUUUGGCGC